rnacentral:ncRNA from 1 species
GUGAUGGGGAUAGACCAUUGCAAUUAUUGGUCUUCAAUGAGGAAUUCCUAGUAAGCGCGUGUCAUCAGCUCGUGUUGACUACGUCCCUGCCCUUUGUACACACCGCCCAUCGCUCCUACCGAUUGAAUGAUCCGGUGAAGUGUUCGGAUUGCGUCAACGAGGGUGGUUCGCCGCCGACGAUGUCGUGAGAAGUUCACUGAACCUUAUCAUUUAGAGGAAGGAGAAGUCGUAACAAGGUUACCGUAGGUGAACCUGCGGUAGGAUCAUUG